rnacentral:rRNA from 1 species
AGCAGCCGCGGUAAUUCCAGCUCCAAUAGCGUAUAUUAAAGUUGUUGCAGUUAAAAAGCUCGUAGUUGAAUUUCGGGAUCAGUUCGUCGGUCGUGCCUUUGGUAUGUACUGGUGUUACUGGUUCCUCCCUUCUGACGAACCGUCAUGUCAUUAAUUUGGUGUGGCGGGAAAUCAGGACUGUUACUUUGAAAAAAUUAGAGUGUUUAAAGCAGGCUCGCGCUUGAAUACAUUAGCAUGGAAUAAUGAAAUAGGACGUUCGAUCCUAUUUUGUUGGUUUCUAGGAUUGACGUAAUGAUUAAUAGGGAUAGUUGGGGGCAUUAGUAUUCAAUUGUCAGAGGUGAAAUUCUUGGAUUUAUUGAAGACUAACUACUGCGAAAGCAUUUGCCAAGGAUGUUUUCAUUAAUCAAGAACGAAAGUUAGGGGAUCGAAGACGAUCAGAUACCGUCGUAGUCUUAACCAUAAACUAUGCCGACUAGGGAUCGGAUGAUGUUAA